GUCGGUCACAACUGGACCUAAUGGUCAGGGGUCCAUUUACCUUUACCUUAUCAGUAUCAAGAGCCAUCAUGUGUGUUUUUUUCUCUUUUUAAGUACAAUUUCAGAAUGGUACCCUUGUUCUAGAAGAUGGAAAGUACAUGUUUAUUAAAGAUCCUGGAAGCUCUCAGUGUGAAACUGACAAGCAACCAUACACAGUGCGCACAGUUGGGCUGUACUUGAUACAUACAUGGAAUAACAUUGAUCUGGGACACAAAUACCAGUUUCUAUUAUAAUGGAGCCAAACUGGAAGAGACAACUAUGUGGCCUUUGUGGAAAUCUUCAGGACGAAUUCACCCCUAGGCAUGGUUCACUAGCCACCAGACCGAUGGAGUUUGGCAACAGUUGAAAGACAAGCUUUGCGUGUUGGGACACAAUAGCCGAGACUUACCCAUGUGAUGCAAAUGCAUACUGCAAAGAGUGGGCCGAGAAAAAAAUGCAAAAUUAUUAGAGGCUGUAGGUUCAGAGCCUGUCACAGCCAGGUUGAACCCACUCCAUUUCACAAGGCUUGCAUUAAAGAAGCUUGCGCCUGCACCAUGGAAGGGAAGUGCCUUGGGCUCUGUACUGCUGUUGCGAUGUACGCAGAGGCAUGUGCAGCAACUGGCAUCUGUGUACAGUGGCGUACCCCAAAACUUUGCCGACAUUCAAAUUUCAUCCCUCCACCUCGAUAGUCUCAUUCAGAUUGCAGCUCACUGUCCACAUUUCCUCUGGAGGCGCCUUUAAUUUUGCUCCAAUAUAUCAAGAGGUGAAGGAGCUUUGCCUCUUGCAAUGGCAGCCGUGGAGCCUGCCUCAGCGGCGCAGGGCUUGAGACCAGCAGGAGCAGCCACAAAGACGUCCACAGGUGCCUUGUCCCCCGACUGCCUUCAGGGGUUUUUAGAGGGUUUUACAACCUCAGGUAACCCCCUCCCCUCCGUCUGAGUCUGGUCCCAGAAUGGGAGAGAUGUCAUGGCAGAGACCAGAACUGGAAACCCUACAGAUCUUCAAUAAUGAUGUCCUCUGGAAGAGAACGGAAAUGAGAGACUGAAUUAACAGCCUCUCUCAAGAAAGCCCUCUAAACAAUACCCAAACCCAAGGGUUCAGCCACCUCAGCUUUUGUAGCUGGAGUCAGUCAGGGCCCUGCCUACUGAGGCGAAGUGAAAAAGGCCUGCAAGGCACAGCAAGAAGGCCUGGGAGGUCUUUCUUGGGCAUGAACCAUAACGCUACUAAGUGAAAAUCCCCAAGGUGUGGAGAUUCGUUUACCUUCUUCAGGAGCUGGCUGAAUACGGGACCGGUGUCGUUGGGCUAUUGCCUUCUGCAGAGGAAAGAGAAAGCUGGAUCAGACGCCAUACACGUCCCGGUCAGGGGGUCCAGGGGCAUGACUAGCUGCUGCAGGAGGAACAACGCUAAUUUCAGUCCUGUUAUCUGCGGAGCUCCGAAGCCUGCUUGCUAAGCCAUCGCCAUCUUGGAACCACUAGAAAUGCUUCCUCUCCUCUCUCAAGUCAGUAGCAUCUUCAUCAGCCCCACUAGGGUGGGUUUCCAGAUGAGCCUUGGGUCAUUUCCCGCAGUCUGGCUCUUUUGGGGUUUUUUUACUAGCUCCCCCCCCCCACAAAUCCUAUACCCUGAGCUGCCCCCCUAGCCUAUUCCUGCCUUGCCCUUCCCAAAAUGUUGCAGGGGGGUUUACUUCCUCUCCUGGUGUCACAGGCUCCUCCUUGGGCUGCAGCGGGGCCACUUUAUUGCUCCUUUUCACCUGAAGAAAGCUCACUCGCCUGAGCCUAAAAGAGGUGAUGCAGAACAGAAAUACGUUUAGCCUAAUAGAGAAUUGCCAGCACAUUCUUCCCUCUUUCUGCAGUUGAAUGAACUGUAGGACUUCAUAACAGCUGCAGAGAGGCAGCCAAGAGCAUUCAGGGCUUGGAGAGAAAGGAGGUACCAGCUCCUGCCACUCCAGGACCAAGAGAGCCUGGCUACCCUAGUUCAUGCCCUGAUUGCUUCAAGACUGGAUUGCUGCCAUGCACUGUACGUGGGACUUCCCUUGUGCUUGGAAGCUGCAGUUAGUGCAGGACACUGCAGCGUGAGUGCUGACAGGAGCAAGGCCUUGUCAACAUAAGUUGUUCACCCUUCAAAAGCAUGUCUUCAAUUUGGUACCUCGUCAAAGGUGCACACCUCAUUCCUGCCAUCUAUCUGCCCUGUGCACACUACAAACACAUUUGUACUACAAACAACAACAACAAACCAACAAACAGCAAACCACCAAUCCUGCAUUGAACAUAUAUAAUUUUCAUUAAAUUUUCUGUUUUGCAAUUUAGAAUAUUCAUUUAAACAACCUUAAAAUAGCAAUGACUUCCCUUCUUUUCUUU